CGGUAAUUCCAGCUCCAAUAGCGUAUACUAAUGCUGUUGCAGUUAAAAAGCUCGUAGUCGGAUUUCAGUAGGAACAGGAAGUUCUCUUUGUAACGGACUGUUCUUACUUCUUUGACAUAAACUCUUAUGUUAUUCAUUUAGCGUGAGUUGCGACUGUCUCUUUUACUUUGAGAAAAUUAGAGUGUUCAAAGCAGGUAUCCGCCUGAAUAUUACUCUUGGAAUAAUGCUAUAAGACUUUGGUUCUAAUGUAUUGGUGAUUGGGACCAGAGUAAUGAUUGAUAGGGACGGUUGGGGUCUCACGUACUGCAAAGCGAGAGGUGAAAUUCUUGGACUUUGUAUGACGAACAACUGCGAAAGCAUUUGACUAGGACGUUCCCGUUGAUCAAGAACGAAAGUUGGGGGAUCGAAGACGAUCAGAUACCGUCGUAGUCUCAACCAUAAACUAUGCCAGCUAGGGAUCGGAGGAAGUUACAAAUUCGACUCCUUCGGCACCUUAUGAGAAAUCAAAGCAUUUGGGUUCCGGGGGGAGUAUGGUCGCAAGGCUGAAACUUAAAGGAAUUGACGGGAGGGCACCACCAGGAGUGGAGCCUGUGGCUUAAUUUGACUCAACACGGGGAAACUUACCAGGUCCGGACAUAGUAAGGAUUGACAGAUUGAGAGCUCUUUCUUGAUUCUAUGGGUGGUGGUGCAUGGCCGUUCUUAGUUGGUGGAGUGAUUUGUCUGGUUAAUUCCGUUAACGAACGAGACCUCAGCCUGCUAAAUAGUUGGACUUUCUUUUGAAGGUGUCAACUUCUUAGAGGGACUACUUGCGAAACAACCAAGCGGAAGCUUGAGGCAAUAACAGGUCUGUGAUGCCCUUAGAUGUUCUGGGCCGCACAUGGGCUACACUGGUGCAUUCAACAAGCACAAUCACCUUAGCCGAAAGGUUUGGGUAAUCUUUGAAAUUGCACCGUGCUUGGGAUAGACUAUUGCAAUUUUUAGUCUUCAACGAGGAAUUCCUAGUAAACGCAAGUCAUCAGCUUGCAUUGAUUACGUCCCUGCCCUUUGUACACACCGCCCGUCGCUCCUACCGAUUGGAUGAUUCGGUAAGCUUUUGAGAUUGAAUGGUCUCGCCAUGUGCUACGCCAUUCGCGAACUUAAUCAAACCUAAUCAUCUAGAGGAAGGAGAAGUCGUAACAAGGUAGCCG
rnacentral:rRNA from 1 species